ensembl:lncRNA
CUCUCCAGGAUUUCUGCCGUGAUUGGGCAAAUGUUUUAGACUGUGCGAACGUGAUUGGCUCCAAAUGUUUUAGAAUCUGCGGACGUGAUUGACUGAAGCUGAAACAUUUAGCUGGCCUUGCAGUCGGCAGCUGGGAAGCAAAGCAGUGUCGGUCUUGGUUAGUACUUGGAUGGGAGACCGCCUGGCAAUACCAGACGUAGCUGACCUGGUCAUCCAAGUCUAUGGUGGAGUCUGAUUUACCUUCAGACUCUACUUCCUCAGGCUCCACUUCCUCCGGCCCUAAGUGGCCAUUGCCGACAUCGAAUAUCUCAGUGCUGCCCAACGAGGUGUUUUUUCCUUGCCGGACAGCAGGGAGGCUUUUCCAUCCUCCAUUUCGCAGCCCAUCAUUGCCAUUUGAGUAUGGCAUUGUCCAGUAACCAUUUUAAUUGCCAAGGCACGUAAACAUGGAAUCACGCAGCACAAGAGGUAGAACUAGCAACACCACCCCUAUUAUUGCGCCGAUUUCCAGCAACCAUGCCCCCCAGGUGCCGAAUGUCUCUCGCAUCCACCUUUAGAACUUUCUAUCAAAACUCGCAUCCCGAACUGCAGUAUCUGUAACCUCACUCCUGAGGUUUUUCAGUUUAUUCAGGGCUUGGCUAAACGAUCAUUCUGGGGCAGCAUUAUUGGUGAUGUAGGUACAACAGUUCUCUCCCACCAUCGCACACACACCCCCGUCUCGGGCUAGCAUCCAGUCUUAAACCAUUCUGUUCUGCAUUGCCAUCUUUAAUGUGGCAUCUAGAACUGUUCUCCUAAGGCGGCUAGGGCGUCUGUGGUGUAGUUAAUAAACCGUUGCUGAUUGUAGUAAGAGAAGAAGAAGAAGAGCAGCGGAGAGAAGAAGAAGAGCAGCAGAGAGAAGAAGAGCAGCGGAGAGAAGAAGAGCAGCGGAGAGAAGAGCAGCGGAGAGAAGAAGAAGAGCAGUGGAGAGAAGAGCAGCGGAGAGAAGAGUUCAUUGGAAAAAGAGCAGCCGAGAGAAGAAGAGCGGCGGAGAGAAGAGCAGCGGAGAAAAGAGCAGCGGAGAGAAGAAGAAGAGCAGCGGAGAGAAGAAGAGCAGCGGAGAGAAGAAGAAGAGCAGCGGAGAGAAGAAGAGCAGCGGAGAGAAGAAGAGCGGAGAGAAGAGCAGCGGAGAGAAGAGUAGCGGAGAGAAGAAGAGCGGAGAGAAGAGCCGUGGAGAGAAGAAGAGCAGCGGAGAGAAGAGCAGCAGAGAGAAGAAGAGCAGCGGAGAGAAGAAGAAGAAGAGCAGUGGAGAGAAGAAGAAGAGCAGCGGAGAGAAGAAGAAGAAGAGCAGCGGAGAGAAGAGCAGCGGAGAGAAGAAGAGCAGCGGAGAGAAGAGCAGCGGAGAGAAGAAGAGCAGCGGAGAGAAGAAGAGCAGCGGAGAGAAGAGCAGCGGAGAGAAGAAGAGCGGCAGAGAGAAGAGCAGCAGAGAGAAGAGCAGCGGAGAGAAGAAGAAGAAGAGCAGCGAAGAGAAGAAGAAGAAGAGCAGCGGAGAGAAGAAGAGCGGAGAGAAGAAGAGCAGCGGAGAGAAGAGCAGCGGAGAGAAGAAGAGCAGCGGAGAGAAGAAGAAGAAGAGCAGCGGAGAGAAGAAGAAGAAGAGCAGCGGAGAGAAGAGCAGCGGAGAGAAGAAGAAGAGCAGCAGAGAGAAGAAGAAGAAGAGCAGCGGAGAGAAGAAGAAGAAGAGCAGCGGAGAGAAGAAGAGCAGUUGAGAGAAGAAGAGCAGCGGAGAGAAGAAGAGCAGCGGAGAGAAGAGCAGCGGAGAGAAGAAGAAGAAGAGCAGCGGAGAGAAGAAGAGCAGCGGAGAGAAGAAGCGCAGCGGAGAGAAGAAGAAGAGCAGCGGAGAGAAGAAGAAGAGCAGCGGAGAGAAGAGCAGCGGAGAGAAGAAGAAGAAGAGCAGCGGAGAAAAGAGCAGCGGAGAGAAGAAGAGCAGCGGAGAGAAGAAGAGCAGCGGAGAGAAGAAGAGCAGCAGAGAGAAGAGCAGCGGAGAGAAGAAGAAGAAGAGCAGCGGAGAGAAGAAGAGCAGCGGAGAGAAGAGCAGCGGAGAGAAGAAGAAGAGCAGCGGAGAGAAGAAGAGCAGCGGAGAGAAGAGCAGCGGAGAGAAGAAGAGCAGUGGAGAGAAGAGCAGCGGAGAGAAGAAGAAGAAGAAGAGCAGCGGAGAGAAGAAGAGCAGCGGAGAGAAGAAGAGCGGAGAGAAGAAGAGCAGCGGAGAGAAGAGCAGCGGAGAGAAGAAGAAGAGCAGCGGAGAGAAGAAGAGCAGCGGAGAGAAGAGCAGCGGAGAGAAGAAGAGCGGCAGAGAGAAGAGCAGCAGAGAGAAGAGUAGCGGAGAGAAGAGUUUAUUGGAAAAAGAGCAGCGGAUAGAAGAAGAGCAGCGGAGAGAAGAAGAGCAGCGGAGAGAAGAAGAAGAGCGGCGGAGAGAAGAGCAGCGGAGAAAAGAGCAGCGGAGAGAAGAAGAAGAGCAGCGGAGAGAAGAAGAGCAGCGGAGAGAAGAAGAGCGGAGAGAAGAGCAGCGGAGAGAAGAGUAGCGGAGAGAAGAGUAGCGGAGAGAAGAAGAGCGGAGAGAAGAGCCGUGGAGAGAAGAAGAGCAGCGGAGAGAAGAGCAGCAGAGAGAAGAAGAGCAGCGGAGAGAAGAAGAAGAAGAGCAGCGGAGAGAAGAAGAGCAGCGGAGAGAAGAGCAGCGGAGCGGUUCACACUGGGUCUCUUCACAUCCUACAGAAGCCGGCUUUACGAGAUCUACAAGUAACAAGAUUAGCAUGCAGUGGGUUUUCAAGGCAAAAGAUCGCAAGACAGCUGCCAAACACGGCCUAGCCAAGCUGGCCCUGUCCAAGACAGAGUACGGCUGGCUAAUGGAGUUCGCCAACAUGCGGCCCUUUCUGCCAGGUUACAGAAGAACAACAGAUCUGUUCUUUUUCAAGGCCCCCUGCACCCCGUCACGUGCUGAGACGCCCUUUUUUUGAAGACGGAAGACCAAAACCAGACGGCCCGUCGUGUCUAACGACGAGGAGGAAGCCACUGACGCGGGAAAGAGACGACCUGUGGUGGUGGUGGAGAAGCUCCAGUCCUCUUCUUCCUCUGUUCAGAGGAGCGCUGGCAAUCCUGGGCACUGUGCGGCAGCUUU